GAUGAACGCUGGCGGCGUGCCUAACACAUGCAAGUCGAGCGGUAUAUACUGGAACGAAACUUCGGUCGAGGGAAGGUAUAGAGAGCGGCGGACGGGUGAGUAACGCGUAGGCAACCUGCCCCAUACAGAGGGAUAGCCUCGGGAAACCGGGAUUAAGACCUCAUGACACCGAGGAUCCACAUGGAACUUCGGCCAAAGAUUCAUCGGUAUGGGAUGGGCCUGCGUCUGAUUAGCUGGUUGGUAGGGUAACGGCCUACCAAGGCGACGAUCAGUAGCCGACCUGAGAGGGUAAUCGGCCACAUUGGAACUGAGACACGGUCCAAACUCCUACGGGUGGCAG
rnacentral:rRNA from 1 species